ACUCAAAGGAAUUGACGGGGGCCCGCACAAGCGGUGGAGCAUGUGGUUUAAUUCGACGCAACGCGCAGAACCUUACCAGGGUUUGACAUCCUGUGCUCGCUGGAGAGAUCCAGUUUUCCCGCAAGGGACACAGAGACAGGUGCUGCAUGGCUGUCGUCAGCUCGUGUCGUGAGAUGUUGGGUUAAGUCCCGCAACGAGCGCAACCCUCGCCUUUAGUUGCCAUCAUUAAGUUGGGCACUCUAGAGGGACCGCCGGCGACAAGCCGGAGGAAGGUGGGGAUGACGUCAAGUCCUCAUGGCCCUUACACCCUGGGCUACACACGUGCUACAAUGGCGGUGACAGUGGGCAGCUAGCUCGCGAGAGUAAGCUAAUCCCAAAAAACCGUCCCAGUUCAGAUUGCAGUCUGCAACUCGACUGCAUGAAGGUGGAAUCGCUAGUAAUCGCAGAACAGCAGGCUGCGGUGAAUACGUUCCCGGGCCUUGUACACACCGCCCGU
rnacentral:rRNA from 1 species